CCCGGCUCUGUCGUCUGCCUCCAACAACGCCCGUUCUGCACGGAGCCCCACGGCUCGACUCGCUCGCCGACGCCGCUGGCGUGAGCGUCCGGCCCCCUCGAAGGUCAUUUGACCAAAUUUGACACCAGCCUAGAAAACCUUUCUAGCCACAAAAUUGCACUUCGGGGAAACCAGCUCAAAGGAAUAAUCUGAAAGUCACACAGCAGACAGCGAGGAACCCCUCCAAGCUGCACUUCCGCUCCAACUUACGCGCUGCCCGGCUCCAAGAUGGCCGCGUGACGCACGACGUAACGCGGAGGCCCCGCCCCUCGCGACGGCUGCUCCUCUUCACGCCCCGCCCCUUCCGGCUUUGACACGGAAGUGGCCUCCCAAGGCGGAAGUGAGCUGGCGAAGCGCGGCGGGCAAUUGAAACGUUGGAGGAUGGCGGGGUUGAGGCUGCAGGCCGUCGGGGGCUCGCCCAGGUACAAAGAGCUCAUCCGCUCCAUGAAGGCAGUGAGGUGUGAAGACACCGUCGGGAGAGAAAGGAGCCAGUUUCUCUAACACCUGUUGCCAUCCUCAAGCUGUCACAACAAAUCCCAACAACAGGGUGCCGGGCACGUGCCCUGCCCCCUCCAGGCAUGAGCGCUCCGGGACAAGGUCCCCUCCUACCUGCGCGAGUGCGGGACCUCGCCAGUGCCGCCGACACGCUGGUGGUGCCCCUGAGCAGCCUGGCCCGCUGUACCCGCGCCUGCCACUCCCAGCAGCUCCUGAAGAUGUUCUGGACAGGUGGUGUCCCCGUGGGGAACGACCACCUUGGUGCUGACCGGUGGGCGGUCGGCGUAGAUGCUGCUGCAUGUGGCUAACGGCAUCCCGCAGGAGCUGAGGGCGCACAUGCUACCCUCCCUGCCCUCCAGCUUCUUCCACGGCGAGGAAAACUGGGUGCUGAAGCUGUUUCUAGAAGGCCUCUUGCACAAAACCGCCAUCCUCCUGGAUGUGGUGGGCAUGAUUAUGCAGGACCCAAGCAACCGACCAGGAGCCCGCCCUGCGUGAGUCCUGAUGCUCUCGGCCGCCAGCCGCGCAGUCACAGCGUGAGGCCACUCCUUGGCCCAGCUCCUGGUUCAGGCGACAGUCCUGGCCCCAGCAGGCAGGUCUGCGCCGGUCUCCUCUGAUAAAGCAGCAGAGAGCAAGCUGCUCCCAGAACCAGCAGACAGCUGGCCAUGCCUGCCCUGGCCGGCAUUGCUCCACCUCAUCAGAGGACGGUGUGUGCAGUCAGCUGCAAAGCCCAGAAUGCAAGGGGCCCUCCCUGCUCACAGACCCCCACCAGCGCCGCCUGGCUCUCAGAGGGGAUUCUCAGCAGUCACUGCCCAGAGCUGGGUGCCACUCCAUGUCAGGAGGAGGCUGGGAGCCCGGGUAGGGCCCUGCCUUUGCAUCUAUGGGCCGGAUGCCGGGGCCACGGCAUGCUGGGCAAGGAGACUCGGUCCCCGCCACAAGCAUCCGUCCCCCUCGCCACCCUUAAGGUGCAUAUGCCUUUAAAGAUGCAAACCAGUAGACUCAGUGGCGACACACCGGGCCCUCUGAGUGGCACAGGCCUUAUCAGGAGGGGACCCCGCAUAGCCUGUGGACACAGUGAGACCAGAGCCAGCCACGUGCUGGAAUGUUUCAUGCUUGUGCAGGUGGUAGGCCCUGGGCCCUGACUACAUGAGUGAGCUGCUGUGCCUGUCCCUGAGCUUCGAGGGUCCAGAAACGCAGCCCUUCAGCCUCUUCCUGUCCCACGUGGUGGCAGAAACCUGAGUGGUGUCCCUGGGCAAAGUCGCUCAACCUUCAUUGUCUCUAAAACCUUCAGGAGGCCGCACCUCGGCCACAAACCACCUGUAGCUGAGCAGAUUCGUGUCUGUCGUUUCCCUGGGAAGACACUGGAAUGCCCAGGUCGGCCGGCCAGGGGAGCGGCAUCCGGACUCCCCAAGACAGCCGGCCCUCGGGAGGUGCUGGGGCUGCCUCCUGGGGAAGAGACAGGCAGGGCUGGCGGUGCCCCGCCUGCCAGCGUGUGUUCAUGGGUUCAUGUGACCUCAGGUGCGGCUGGAGCCCCGACAGCUGUCAGGAUGCACCACGUUAACCAAGGCCGGUUCCCCAAGACCAGGGCCGUCCGCCCACGACACCCCUGGAGUCAUUCUUUGUGUUUUUGCACACAUGAGUCUAAGAGCCUAAAUUAUUUUUGGAAAUCAUUUUCAAACUUUCAAAGAUUAUGUAAAAGCUAUCUGGUUUUUUGAGCAAUGUUUAACUGAGUGAAGUAAAAAGUUUCUUUGGUAUUUUUUCAGUGCCCAUGUUCACCUCUGCUGGUUUUGAUUCCAGGGAUGGGGAACAAGUCGGUACGUCCCCCUGCAGCCACCAGGCCCAUUUGUUGUCACUGUGCCUCAGGGCGGGGGUGGCAUGCAGCCUCUUGUUGCCCCAAGGGUCCGAAGUAAAGCUGCCCAGUGCUGCGUGCUCACUUGGGAGCCGUGUGGAGGAGAGCAGGUCUCCCCCACACGGAGCUGGAGCCCACAGUGCUGGGGUGGUACAGGGUCACCAGCACACCCCGCACACUCAGAGGUGGCCCCGUGACAGAGACCAGCCUCAGCUCUGGCCCCGCCCGGCGGGGUUGGCAGCAGCUAUGGGUCCCGUCUGGUUGGGGUGUUUCCUCCCCUCCUGCCUGAGCCCUCCGUGGGGACCCUGCCGAGGGGUCAGAGCACUCCACACAGCUUUUUGAUUCUUAUUCCUGAGCACUGAUAUCAGCACAAAGGGGCCCCUGCCCUGGGGUCUUGCUGCGCCCACCCUCCACAGCCCCCGGGGAGGCCCAGCAGCACCGGGGGUGGCCGUUUCCAGGCCAGCGAGAAGCCCUGUGGUCUCUCCCCAGCAACCCAGUUAGUGGAGCUAAUUUCAGAACGGUGUCUCGUCUCCCUGGACCCGUUCCAGGCACCUGCGAGGCAGCGGUCAGCUGGAGGACAAGCUGUCUGCCUCCCUCACGAGCAUCCUCCUCCCACCGUGGAUCCAGACCUGCCAGGUCCCCCUGGGGCGGGCUCCAGUGCAGGGGGCCUGGAUUGGCACGUGUUGGGGUCCACAAGUCCACCCUCCCAGGAAGGUGAGAAACAGGACCUGCCGGGUCCCCUGACACUCACCAAGGACUGGGGAUGCCUGACACGAGCAGGCAUACGUCAGCUCAGCCACCGUGUGGGGUCAUGGCCUCCGUCACACAAGCCUGCCUAGGUCAGCACAAGGACCGGUUCUGAAUCCCAAGGGCAGCGGGCGUGACUGGCACCCAGACUGGAAACAGCACAGCAUGCCAGGAGGGCAGGCCUGGCUCCAGCUGUCCUGGCGGCACCAUGGCACCCAGGUGUAUUCAAGCACAAGACGCAGCCCCACAUGUGGACUGAUUGCCGCUGUGACCACAAUGGACUUCCUGAUCCCACAGUGAGAGCUGGAACAGCUCCCGAAAUCCGGGUCCAAGCAGACCAUGGAGGGCCAUGCCGGCCGGGCCACACCAGAGCUUCUCCCAGGGGCUUUCGGGUCACUGUUGGGCUGGAACCUGGUCCUGGGCACCCAGCUCUGCCCGUGCCCUCAAGGGGAAGGCAUGACUGGUAAGGGGGCCUGGCUGGUCUGGGUCUCAGUCCAAACCUUGAGCAAGUCCUGGGGGCCGAUGCAACACCCUGUCCUGAGCACCCAGCCCAUGUGAGCAGAGCCCCAGGCAGCCUGGGUGACAGGCACGCACCUAGGGUAGGCAGGAACAGGCGCAGCAAGGCCAGCUCUGCUGACCAUCUGCCCUGAGGUGGACGCCAGUGCCCUUGGCUCUAAGCCCCCCACCCCCAUAAAUCUGUAAUAAAAAUAAUCCUGAGUCUCCCUAAUGUGCCCC
ensembl:lncRNA